CGAUCGAGAGUGAUCGGAUCCGCCAUUGUUGCGGUUGGAAUGAAAAAUCAUCUCUCGACCUUGGCAGAUGUUGUACAGAGAUUGAAACUGGUAACAACAAUGAGACGUGCCAAUUCUAUGCUUAUGAUUUUGCGAAACAACAAUGACUUAUCGAAAUAGAAACGAAUCGUGAUUCGUGGAUUUGUAUUACAAUGAAUGUUAAUAAAUAUAUUUAUCGUGAUUAUCUGAGCGAAUCGAAGAAAUCGUUUGCGAUAAAAAAGUAAUCGAAUGCAAAGUAAGUAGAUACGCUUUUCGAAUCAACUGAGGAAAAACGAGAACGUUCGAUGUCAUUUAAUAGAUAUAUACUAUUUUAUUUAUUAGG